GAUGAAGAACGCAGCGAAAUGCGAUAAGUAAUGUGAAUUGCAGAAUCCAGUGAAUCAUCGAAUCUUUGAACGCACAUUGCGCCCGCCAGCAUUCUGGCGGGCAUGCCUGUUCGAGCGUCAUUUCAACCCUCGACCUCCCGUUGGGGAAGUCGGCGUUGGGGACCGGCAGCACACCGCCGGCCCUGAAAUGGAGUGGCGGCCCGUCCGCGGCGACCUCUGCGUAGUAAACCAACUCGCACCGGAACCCCGACGUGGCCACGCCGUAAAACACCCAACUUCUGAACGUUGACCUCGAAUCAGGUAGGACUACCCGCUGAACUUAAGCAUAUCAAUAAGCGGAGGA
rnacentral:misc_RNA from 1 species